rnacentral:rRNA from 1 species
UACGUAGGGUGCGAGCGUUAAUCGGAAUUACUGGGCGUAAAGCGUGCGCAGGCGGUUUUGUAAGACUGUCGUGAAAUCCCCGGGCUCAACCUGGGAAUGGCGAUGGUGACUGCAAGGCUAGAGUUUGGCAGAGGGGGGUAGAAUUCCACGUGUAGCAGUGAAAUGCGUUGAUAUGUGGAGGAACACCGAUGGCGAAGGCAGCCCCCUGGGUCAAAACUGACGCUCAUGCACGAAAGCGUGGGGAGCAAACAGG